rnacentral:lncRNA from 10 species
AGUCUUUAACUGAAGGGCACUGACUGGGUCACUGGUGAAGUUCCCCGCAGGAACUGAGUCAGACCCCAUCUCAGGGCCCUGCACAAGAUAGGUGCCUGCUCUAAGGCGUGGACCCUCGCCACAGCCCUGGCCCGUCUUGACGGGCGAGGGUUACUGUACUUGUCCCAACCGUACAGAUGAGAAAGCUGAGACUCAGGGCCAGCAACCCGGGUCCCAGCGGAGCGCCCGGCACACGCCGACACUUCAGCACCAGUGGCGGUGGCCACCACUGUGGGCGGAGAUGGCUGCGACGCGUGCGCAGGUAAAGUCUAUGCGCGCCUUGCCUCCCACCGGCGCCUUCCCCGGCCUCUGGUUUUUGUCCCCGCCAGCGGCUCCGACUCCAUCGCGUCCUCUUCCAGUCUAGUGCUUUUUUCCAGAUCUCGAUCCCAAACUCCCUCCUGCCAGAAUCUGGACCCGAAUCCACCCAUUGCCCGUUUUCCGCUGCCGCUGGAGAGAAUCUCUGAGGUCCCCAGGAGAGCCUGCCUGCACGGAAGAGACGCCUCCUCGGUAUGGCCGCCCCCGGAGAGGAGCGAUUAAGUGCAGACCUCCUUGUUGCUCUUGAGCCUGAGCGGCUUCAGGGAGCCAUGUUUGUUACUGGCGGGCGCCGACCUCACUGAGCAUGUGCAGCCCUGGCCGGGCGGCCUCAAAGUUCUGACAUCACAGGGCGGUUCCUGAAGUGGACGUAGUUGUAAGAGCUAGUUAUUUUAGACAAUGCCUCUGGGAUCAGGGACUCUAAUCUGGAAAUAGGUAGUCGGAGAGGUCGGUGAUGCAGUCUCUGGAUCAGAGACCUGAGCUAUAUGGGGUUAGAGAGGGGCCCUGGGCAGGCGAGUCUCUGGGGAGUGUGGUGAGAAUCCUUGUGUAAGAUGCUGGGAGGAGGUGGGGUCAGGGCUGGGGUCCGUGGGCCGACGGGUUGGGGGAUGGCCAGCGUCAGGGAUCAGUAGUAGAGAUUCUAUGUGCCCUGAUCGCCAGUGGAGGUUUUAAAUACAGAGUAUUCAUGAGUUUAGCAAUGUUUUUCGCCUCUCAUUAUUUAAAUAAUUUGAAGUUUUCCCCAAUAACUAGUGUCUUAGAAGUCAUGAAAAUUUCAGAAAAUGACAGGUCUUCUGAGUUCGUGAUGGGAGUUGGGCAGCAGUCGCAUACGAGCACCUGGAGAGUCCUUGCCAGUUCUUUGGGGAUGGGGAGCUCUUAAGACUGCCCUGAGACCGCCCUUUGACCUCAUUGUGGUCCUUUCUAGAUUAAAUGCUGUUUUCCAUGACCGUCUCUGUUCUUCCCAUACGGGAAUGGCAGGCAUUCAGAUCUCCAAGAAUAGAGGAUUAGGAGAGACUCCACCACCUAUGUCCUCACAGUUAAUUAUCGAUUUGUGUCAGUUGCCCAUUUUCUCACUUCCUGUUUGUGUGUCAAGGGGUAUUAAUAAAUCUUUGCCUAUUUAAAGAUAUUA